UGUGACCUCAAAUCAGGUAGGACUACCCGCUGAACUUAAGCAUAUCAAUAAGCGGAGGAAAAGAAACUAACAAGGAUUCCCCUAGUAACUGCGAGUGAAGCGGGAAAAGCUCAAAUUUAAAAUCUGGCGGUCUUAUGGCUGUC
rnacentral:rRNA from 1 species